rnacentral:ncRNA from 1 species
GGGUGAAGUCAUAAACUUAGUUGUGACCUUAAAAGAGCAAUCUUUAAAGAAAAACUUGGCUAUAUGCUGGAAACACUGUGAAUUCAGAACUACUUGUAUUUGUGAUAAAAUAUAAAAUAUGAGUAAAAAUGUUGCUGAUGCAGUCAAUCAGCAGGGAAGUCGUCCAUUAAAUUGGAUUGACCCCUCAGAGACUACACGCCGAGCCCCUUUUUCUGAAAAGGUUCGUAAAAUAAAGACUUUAAGAAAAAGGGUGAAGAUAUAGUCCGUGCCUUAUGGCGACAUAGGG